rnacentral:rRNA from 1 species
UACGGAGGGGACUAGCGUUGUUCGGAAUUACUGGGCGUAAAGCGCACGUAGGCGGAUUUGUAAGUCAGGGGUGAAAUCCCGAGGCUCAACCUCGGAACUGCCUUUGAUACUGCAAAUCUCGAGUCCGGAAGAGGUGAGUGGAAUUCCCGGUGUAGCGGUGAAAUGUGUAGAGAUCGAGAGGAACGCCGGUGGCGAAGGCGGGUCUCUGGGCGCACCCUGACGCUGAGGCGCGAAGGCGUGGGGAGCAAAC